ACUCCUACGGGAGGCAGCAGUAGGGAAUAUUGGACAAUGGGCGCAAGCCUGAUCCAGCCAUGCCGCGUGAGUGAAGAAGGCCCUCGGGUUGUAAAGCUCUUUUGUUGGGGAAGAAAAGCCUUGGGUUAAUACCCCGGGGUCCUGACGGUACCCAAAGAAUAAGCACCGGCUAACUUCGUGCCAGCAGCCGCGGUAAUACGAAGGGUGCAAGCGUUACUCGGAAUUACUGGGCGUAAAGCGCACGUAGGCGGAUCGGAAAGUUGGGGUGAAAUCCCGGGGCUCAACCCGGAACGGCUCCAAACUAAUCGUCUAGAGUUCGAGAGAGGUGAGUGGAAUUCCGAGUGUAGAGGUGAAAUUCGUAGAUAUUCGGAGGAACACCAGUGGCGAAGGCGGCUCACUGGCUCGAUACUGACGCUGAGGUGCGAAAGUGUGGGGAGCAAACAGGAUUAGAUACCCUGGUAGGCUCUGCU
rnacentral:rRNA from 1 species